UACGGGGGGGGCAAGCGUUGUUCGGAAUUACUGGGCGUAAAGGGCUCGUAGGUGGCCAACUAAGUCAGACGUGAAAUCCCUCGGCUUAACCGGGGAACUGCGUCUGAUACUGGAUGGCUUGAGUUUGGGAGAGGGAUGCGGAAUUCCAGGUGUAGCGGUGAAAUGCGUAGAUAUCUGGAGGAACACCGGUGGCGAAGGCGGUCUGCUGGGCAGUAGCUGACACUGAUGCGCGACAGCGUGGGGAGCAAACAGG
rnacentral:rRNA from 1 species